GACCAUAAUCAUGUGAGGCACUGGUGACUGGGUUCAAUUUGCUAAAAAUCUAUGCAGCAGAAACAGCUGGGAACCAGAUAUGAAGGAUAAGGUGUCUGGAGGUUUUGACCAUACCAAAUGUCAAGAAUGAAAAGUUCACUGCAAGGGUUUGCUCUAUUUUGGAAUGUGAUACUCUGUAACCAUAUGGAAUAGUUAUAUCUAAGUUUAUAAAUUAUGGCCUUUAGUAGUAGUUAGCAUAUUCCGCUACAAAACAGCUACACUGCCAUUUAAGUAAUGCAGUAAUAUUGCUGUAAAUGCUUCUUUGAGAAGCGUAAUGAAUUUGAGACUCUUCUUCUUGUACGUAUAUCAAGAUAAAUAAUUGGCAAUCUGAAUGUAAAGGAAUUAUUGAUGUUUGUCUGGUACUGUCAUCGUAAAAGUAUUUCCAUUCAAAGACUGUUACUAUUGUGAUCAUACUUCAUAAGUCUUAUGCAAGAAUGUGGUAAUAAACAUUCCUAUACUAUA